UCAAGUAAAAAGAACGAAAGUAUUCUCGCCACACGCUGGAGAGCUACUCACAAAAUCAGCCGUGGGGUAACGAAGAAGCUUAACUGUUUGGCGCUACUGCGUCUUAUUCGUGUAUUGUUAUGUCAUUGCUGAUAAUGAAAUUUCGAAUUCGCGAAGCAAUUGCGGUCGAUUUAAUUGAUAUUGUUAUUAUUAUUAUUUUUGACCACUUUUGUUGUUGUGACUGCCUGUGCUUUGAAAUAAAAGUGCCAAAUUUAGAGACGAUGACGAAAUGUCAGACAGUUUAUGUGUAUGUACUUAUAUACAUGUACAUAUAAGAAUGGAUAUUGCUAAUUUGGUAUAAAUAGCCUUUUGGGCAUGCGCAGUCAACAUUCCACUUGCAGUUCUCGCACUUAUAAUAACUCAAAACAAAAACCACUAUCAAAAUGAUGAAAUUGUUGAUCCUCGUUAUUGCCGCUCUCUUCGCUGUUGCAAUGGCUGUACCCUCACCAGUGGCUGGUCCCAACCCUGAGCCCAACCCACAAUACGUAUAUGGCUCGUACCCAGCUGUGGCCUCAUAUCCUUAUGUGUACUAUGGUUAAUAAAACUGGUAGUCCUUUGAGAUAUUGAUGAGAUAUUCUAUUACGUUUUCUGAACUCGGCUGUGACUAUGGUGUAAUGAUUUCCCACAAUAACAAUUUCAUAUUUGGACAACAACAGUGUUAUAAAUUAAGGGUGUCGCUUGUUUUGAUUUUUAACUUUUUGUUUCGUUUUAGUAUUUUGUUAAUAAAAAAGAUUGAAUUUGCAAAAAACAAAAUUAAA